AAAAAAAAAAAAAAAGGUAGCUGUACUCCUAUCCUAUGUAUACUGCAGCAGUAUUCACAAUAGCCUUGAUGUAUAAUAAACCUAAUGUCCACUGUAAAAUGGAUGGAUAAAGAAAAUAUCAUAUAUAUGUGUGUGUGUGUGUGUGUGUGUGUGUAUAGACACACAAUGGAAUAUUAUUCAGCCAUAAAAACAAUUAAAUCUUGUCAGUUGCAGCAACAAGGAUGGAACUAGAGGACACUAUGUUAAGUGCAUUAAGUUAGACACAGAAAGACAUUCUAUACAGUCUCACUCACAUCUGGAAACUUUGAAAGUUCAUUUCAUAGAAGUAGAAGUAGAAUAGUGGUCAGUAAAGGCAACAAAUGGAAGGGAAAGGAAGGAUAGAUGCAGGCUGGAUAAUAGAUACUAAAAUACAGAUAGAAAGGAGGGAUGUGUUCUAAUAUUCUAUAGUAUAUCCGCUUAACUGAGUUUACAACAAUUUAGCAUACACAAACACAUAUUUUAAAGCACUGACCUGCACAUUUAAUUAUUUCCUUUAAGCUUUAUUUAUUAAUUAUUAAAGACACAGAGUAACAGAGAGACAGAAAUAGAGACAGAACUAGAUCUUCCAUCCAUUUGUUUACUCCCUGAAUGCUUGCCAUUGCUGGGGUUGGCCUAGGCAAAAUAUGGGACCUGGGCAUCUCAAUUGCCAUCUUAAUCACUAUGCCAAAUGCCCAUCUAGGAUCCACAUUAUGGCAGAGUAGGUAAAGCCACAACCUACAACUCCGGCAUCUAAUAUGGGUGCUGGUUCAUGUCCUGGCUAGUCCACCUUCAAUCCAGCACCCUGGUAAUGGCCUGGGGAAAAUAGUGGAAGAUGGUCCAAGUUUUGGGCCCCUAGCAACCCAAGUGGAUGACCUGGAUGAAGUUGUUGACUCCUGGCUUCACCCUGGCCCAGCACUAGCUAUUGUGGCCAUCCGGGGAAUGAACCAGGAGAUGGUAGAUUCAUUCUCUCUCUCUCUCUCUCCCUCCCUCCCUCCUUCCCUCCUUCCCUUCCUCUAUCCUUCCCUCCCCACCUCCCUCUGUAACUCUGACUUUCAAAAUAAGCAAAUAAAUCUUUUAAAAAAUUCCAAUUCCAUUAUAAAUUUUAUGGAUAGCUAGAAGAGAGGAGUUUGAAGGCUCCCAACACAAAGAAAGGAAAAAAUUUAAGGAAAUAGAAAUGCUAAUUACCCUGGUUACUUCAUUACACAUUGUAUCAAAUGUAUCAAAUGACCACACUAUACCUCAUAAAUACAAGAACAAAAGAGUUUAAAAGAAUUUAUGGAAAAUUCACAUUAUGUUAAAAGUAUUUUAAAUUAUUUAUUUAUUUGAGAUGGAGACAGACAGAAAGCUCCUGUCUACUGGUUCACUGCCCAAAUGCAUCUAACAGUUGAGGCUGGGCUGGGCUAGAGCCAGGAACUGGAAUCCAGGUCUUCCAUGUGGGUGGCAGGAAUCCAGUUAUUUGAGCCAUCACUGCCACCUCUCGGGUUGCACUUGUAAUCCAGGUCUUCCAGGUUUGAUUCCUGGCUCUGGCUCCUGACUUCAGAAUCAAAUCCAAGGAGCAAGAACUCAUACCCAGGCACACUGAUAUGGGAUACUGGCAUUUAACCACUAGGUUAAGUGCCAGCUACCCAAUAUCCUCUUUUUAAAAAAUGUUGAGAAUUUGAGAGGAUACCCAGAUGGCUAAAUACUGUCUUAGAUGAUGGGAAAAUAGCAGAAUAAAAGUGGAGGAAGAACAUUCCCAGGGUAGAGUUAAAGAGAAGUUUGCAGUGGAAAUUCUGCAGAAGGAAGAGGGAUGCCAUGGAUCAGAGUGGAAGGUGACUCACAGCAACAAGCGGGGCAACCACACGCAAGCCCUGCAGUUGGGAACUGGAGGGCACCCCAGGUUCGGAGAGUGAGGUGAGAACAGACUGCAGCAGCCUGGGCCGCUGGCGAUACUGCCUGAGGGAGAGUUGUGUGGACCACUCUGUCUUUGAGUCUGGAGCCCUAAUGGGGGGCAAGGUACUAUCCUAAUCCAGCAGAAAGACGCAUGUUUCUUUCUCCCCAUUCCCCCACAAUGGCGCCAGAAAACUUGAGGGGCAGAGGUACCAUUUUGAUACCAGUAGCAGCUGCCUCUUAUGCGUGCGUGUGAUCAGGGAUUUUACCAGAGGAAAAAAAUCUAUUCCCUGCUGACUCUGAGUUUGGCUGGCAGGGUUGACAGGGGCUGGGCACUUAUGUAGGACUUUGAGAUGCUCCCAUCCUCUCAACAUAUCACAGGCUCCAGGGCUCAACUGCCAAGGUAAAGCACCCACAAGCAGUGGGCUCUGGGAAUGUCUCUGCUUUCUCCACAGACAGGACAAGCUAACAGGAUGGAGCAGAUCGUCUGUAUCCUGUGACUGUGGGAGCCAUGCUCACUGUGACUGUGGGAAUCCUAUGACUCCACAAUAAAGCAUGGGAUGUCACUGUGUCUGGUGUCAGAGGCUCAGAACUCCCUGACUGCUUGGGGUGGAUCAUUGCUGUGGGUUCCAUGUUCUUAUUGAGGCCUGCACAGAUCCUUUGUGUGGUUCAUGCAGCAGCAUGGAAAAAAAAGAAAAGAAAUAUGGGAAGAAAAACAAAGGAGAGAAUGUUUUGAAAAGACUCUGCAGUUGAUGUAAUGGAUUACAUUAGCAGCUUUUUGAAUGGUGAACCAACAUUGCAUAUUUGGAAUACAUCCCACUUGGUCAUGGUAUGUAAUUUCCUUCCUUCCUUCCUUCCUUCCUUCCUUCCUUCCUUCCUUCCUUCCUUCCUUCCUUUCUUUUUUGACAGGCAGAGUUAGUGAGAGAGAGAGACAGAGAGAAAGGUCUUCCUUCUGUUGGUUCACCCCUCA